rnacentral:misc_RNA from 1 species
GUGAAUCAUCGAAUUUUUGAACGCAAAUUGCACUCUCCUCGAAGAGUAUGCCUGUUUGAGUUUCAGCCUAUAAAAAUCGACAUCGUUGCUGUUUCGCGGUGUCGGUCGUCGGAAAUUGGGACAUCUUAAAUCCUUUUUAUUUAAUCGACUUAAAAUUUUCUUUUGUUUCCAUGAACGUUUCUAAAAUCUAUUUCUGUACACUUUUGUGUUAUCGAUUGUUACUUGACGUUAGCAUCAUAUCUGAUCCCUGCCAUAAUCUUUCAUUAACUUG